GACGAACGCUGGCGGCGUGCUUAACACAUGCAAGUGGAGCGACGAACCAGGCUUCGGCCUGGGGCAGAGCCGCGAACGGGUGAGUAACACGUGGGUAACCUGCCUCGAUGACCGGGACAACCCGGGGAAACCCGGGCUAAUACCGGAUGUGCUCCUUCACAUCAGUGAAGACAGGAAAGGAAGCUUCGGCCUCCGCAUCGAGAUGGGCCCGCGGCCCAUUAGCUUGUUGGUGAGGUAACGGCUCACCAAGGCUGCGAUGGGUAGCUGGUCUGAGAGGACGAUCAGCCACACUGGGACUGAGACACGGCCCAGACUCCUACGGGAGGCAGCAGUGGGGAAUCUUGCGCAAUGCGCGAAAGCGUGACGCAGCAACGCCGCGUGGGGGAAGACGGC
rnacentral:rRNA from 1 species